GGCCUAACACAUGCAAGUCGAACGGUAACAGGAAGCAGCUUGCUGCUUCGCUGACGAGUGGCGGACGGGUGAGUAAUGUCUGGGAAACUGCCUGAUGGAGGGGGAUAACUACUGGAAACGGUAGCUAAUACCGCAUAACGUCGCAAGACCAAAGAGGGGGACCUUCGGGCCUCUUGCCAUCGGAUGUGCCCAGAUGGGAUUAGCUAGUAGGUGGGGUAACGGCUCACCUAGGCGACGAUCCCUAGCUGGUCUGAGAGGAUGACCAGCCACACUGGAACUGAGACACGGUCCAGACUCCUACGGGAGGCAGCAGUGGGGAAUAUUGCACAAUGGGCGCAAGCCUGAUGCAGCCAUGCCGCGUGUAUGAAGAAGGCCUUCGGGUUGUAAAGUACUUUCAGCGGGGAGGAAGGGAGUAAAGUUAAUACCUUUGCUCAUUGACGUUACCCGCAGAAGAAGCACCGGCUAACUCCGUGCCAGCAGCCGCGGUAAUACGGAGGGUGCAAGCGUUAAUCGGAAUUACUGGGCGUAAAGCGCACGCAGGCGGUUUGUUAAGUCAGAUGUGAAAUCCCCGGGCUCAACCUGGGAACUGCAUCUGAUACUGGCAAGCUUGAGUCUCGUAGAGGGGGGUAGAAUUCCAGGUGUAGCGGUGAAAUGCGUAGAGAUCUGGAGGAUACCGGUGGCG
rnacentral:rRNA from 1 species